rnacentral:rRNA from 1 species
GUGCACGCUGGCGGUAGGCCUAACACAUGCCCGUCGCACGGCAGCACAGUAAGCGCUUGCUCUUACGGGUGGCGAGUGGCGGACGGGUGAGGAAUACAUCGGAAUCUACUUUUUCGUGGGGGAUAACGUAGGGAAACUUACGCUAAUACCGCAUACGACCUACGGGUGAAAGCAGGGGAUCUUCGGACCUUGCGCGAUUGAAUGAGCCGAUGUCGGAUUAGCUAGUUGGCGGGGUAAAGGCCCACCAAGGCGACGAUCCGUAGCUGGUCUGAGAGGAUGAUCAGCCACACUGGAACUGAGACACGGUCCAGACUCCUACGGGAGGCAGCAGUGGGGAAUAUUGGACAAUGGGCGCAAGCCUGAUCCAGCCAUACCGCGUGGGUGAAGAAGGCCUUCGGGUUGUAAAGCCCUUUUGUUGGGAAAGAAAAGCAGCAGGUUAAUACCCCGCUGUUCUGACGGUACCCAAAGAAUAAGCACCGGCUAACUUCGUG